AACUCGCUGUGAAGAUGCAGUGUACCCGCGGCAAGACGGAAAGACCCCGUGAACCUUUACUAUAGCUUGACACUGAACAUUGAGCCUUGAUGUGUAGGAUAGGUGGGAGGCUUUGAAGCGUGGACGCCAGUCUGCGUGGAGCCGACCUUGAAAUACCACCCUUUAAUGUUUGAUGUUCUAACGUGGAUCCGUAAUCCGGGUUGCGGACAGUGUCUGGUGGGUAGUUUGACUGGGGCGGUCUCCUCCUAAAGAGUAACGGAGGAGCACGAAGGUUGGCUAAUCCUGGUCGGACAUCAGGAGGUUAGUGCAAUGGCAUAAGCCAGCUUGACUGCGAGCGUGACGGCGCGAGCAGGUGCGAAAGCAGGUCAUAGUGAUCCGGUGGUUCUGAAUGGAAGGGCCAUCGCUCAACGGAUAAAAGGUACUCCGGGGAUAACAGGCUGAUACCGCCCAAGAGUUCAUAUCGACGGCGGUGUUUGGCACCUCGAUGUCGGCUCAUCACAUCCUGGGGCUGAAGUAGGUCCCAAGGGUAUGGCUGUUCGCCAUUUAAAGUGGUACGCGAGCUGGGUUUAGAACGUCGUGAGACAGUUCGGUCCCUAUCUGCCGUGGGCGCUGGAGAACUGAGGGGGGCUGCUCCUAGUACGAGAGGACCGGAGUGGACGCAUCACUGGUGUUCGGGUUGUCAUGCCAAUGGCACUGCCCGGUAGCUAAAUGCGGAAGAGAUAAGUGCUGAAAGCAUCUAAGCACGAAACUUGCCCCGA
rnacentral:rRNA from 2 species